UGCAUUAAAUGGGAUGUUGCUGUUAAAACUUUAUUUAUUAAUAUAAAGUUUGAAUUGUUUAAUUUAAAAUUCUAAAUUAUUCCUAGUAAUAAUUAGAUAACUUUUUCUUUAUAUGAUUUAUCAUUCACAAAUUCAACUUGAACCCAACAGUUUGAAAUCAACUACUAAAUCCUUCUAACCAUCCAAUUUUAUGUUAUUAGUAGUUGAUGUGUCUAGUAACUUUAAUGUUUUUCUUUACCAUGGUUAUUUUGCUACUCAUUUAUCUUUUGUUUUCAGCCUGCGUAUUUGCUUUUAUAAUGCCUAAAUUUAAGAUUGAAAUCCCAUGAUAUCUAAGUUUAUAGUUGAACUAAUUAAAUAAUGCAGAACUGUUGUAAAAUGGUAUUGACGAAUGAACGAAAGCAAAUUACUUGUUUUCUUCUUUUGAUAGUAAUUAGUAAUGAAAACAACUUACAAAUUCUGACAGUCGUUAUCAUAAGUUAUUAAACUAUCAUCUAUAUCUGUAGGUGGGUUGAGUUUACAAAAAAGCGUAAAUAUUUCCAACGGUCGACAGAUGGGUGAAGAAUACAUUUUGCAGCACAAAGGCAUGCAGUUCGUGGGCAGAAACUAGCUUUGGAGCUUUCUGCUGCCUGAGGGGUAGCGUGAUUUCUACCUUACACGAGAUGAUAAAUCCCGUUCUUUAAAUUCUAUUGAAGAACGAACGAAGAAGAAGCAAAAGGCGCAACAGGAAUCUGGGGAAAUUUCUGAUUUCCCAAGUGAACAGUUUGCGCCAAAGGUGAUGCAGCAAUUUCCCCAGAAAAAACCUGUGGUAGAUGAAGAUCAAGCCUAGCCUAAGGACGUUUUGGCCGGAGUAUUUGGUGGUCAAUGAUGUGCAAACGUUUCAGAAAAUUAUGCUUAUUAAUAAAAAAUAUUGUGGUGCUUGCUCGUCGCCGCUGUGUGGUGCUUGCUCGUUUCAAGGACUUACUUAGACCGUUCACUUGGCUUAGAACUAACAAUGCCCAAAAGAAUCAAGAAGCAACAGAGUCCUCAUAUUUCGUCCUAAUUCUACGGCAAAAUCUACUCCCGAGUUUAUAUAAUUAUAUUAUCUUUGCUUUUAGUUCUCGCUCAACUUGAUUUAGUGUUUGGAGUUCGACACUAGUCCAGUUAAAAUAACCGCCGGUUUUAGGGCUUGGAAGAAGAGCCUGCCUCCUCU